rnacentral:misc_RNA from 1 species
GUGAAGAACGCAGCGAAACGCGAUAUUUCUUGUGAAUUGCAGAAGUGAAUCAUCAGUUUUUGAACGCACAUUGCACUUUGGGGUAUCCCCCAAAGUAUACUUGUUUGAGCGUUGUUUCUCUCUUGGAAUUGCUUUGCUCUUCUAAAAUUUCGAAUCAAAUUCGUUUGAAAAACAACACUAUUCAACCUCAGAUCAAGUAGGAUUACCCGCUGAACUUAAGCAUAUCAAUAAGCGGAGGA